rnacentral:rRNA from 1 species
GACGAACGCUGGCGGCGUGCUUAACACAUGCAAGUCGAACGGUGAAGGGGUCUGCUUUUGUGGGCCCUGGAUGAGUGGCGAACGGGUGAGUAACACGUGAGUAACCUGCCCCCUUCUUCUGGAUAACCGCAUGAAAGUGUGGCUAAUACGGGAUAUUCUGGGUCUGUCGCAUGAUGGGUCUGGGAAAGAUUGCGCCUUUGGGUGUUUUUGGUGGGGGAUGGGCUCGCGGCCUAUCAGCUUGUUGGUGGGGUGAUGGCCUACCAAGGCGGUGACGGGUAGCCGGGCGGAGAGGGUGGACGGUCACACUGGGACUGAGACACGGCCCAGACUCCUACGGGAGGCAGCAGUGGGGAAUAUUGCACAAUGGGCGCAAGCCUGAUGCAGCGACGCCGCGUGAGGGAGGGAGGCCUUCGGGUUGUAAACCUCUUUCGCCAGUGAAGCAGGCCUGCUCCUUGUGGGUGGGUUGACGGUAGCUGGAUAAGAAGCGCCGGCUAACUACGUG